rnacentral:rRNA from 1 species
AACGAACGCUGGCGGCGUGGAUAAGACAUGCAAGUCGAACGGGAAUGAACGGGUAGCAAUAUUCGGACAUUCUAGUGGCGAAAGGGUGCGUAACACGUAGACCAUCUACCUCUAAGUGUGGGAUAGCUCGGCGAAAGCCGGAUUAAUACCGCAUGUGGCUUAGGAACGCAUGUUCCGAAAGUUAAAGCCGGGGACCGUAAGGCCUGGCGCUUGGAGAUGAGUCUGCGGCCUANCAGCUUGUUGGCGGGGUAACGGCCCACCAAGGCUAAGACGGGUAGCUGGUCUGAGAGGACGACCAGCCACACUGGAACUGAGACACGGUCCAGACACCUACGGGUGGCAGCAGUCGAGAAUUUUUCUCAAUGGGCGAAAGCCUGAAGGAGCGACGCCGCGUGGGGGA